ACUCGAUGAUGAUAAAUCUAAAGGCUUGUUUCUCUAAACAUUCGCAGUGGCCGACCAAGAGCUUUCGCCUUCGCCAGGCUUGAGAGCUAGUGCUGCUUUUAUCCUUCCUUGGAUGUCUGAGACA
rfam:Glycine soja cultivar W05 scaffold975_28, whole genome shotgun sequence.